rnacentral:rRNA from 1 species
AUUGAACGCUGGCGGCAGGCCUAACACAUGCAAGUCGAGCGAGGGGCGGACGGGUGAGUAAUGUAUGGGGACUGCCCGAUAGAGGGGGAUAACUACUGGAAACGGUUGCUAAUACCGCAUACGCUAGGCUUACCCAUAUGGGAUUAGCUAGUAGGUGAGGUAAUGGCUCACCUAGGCGACGAUCCCUCGCUGGUCUGGGAGGAUGAUCAGCCACCCUGGGACUGAGACACAGCCCAGACUCCUACGGAGGCAGCAGUGGGGAAUAUUGCACAAUGGGCGAAAGCCUGAUGCAGCCAUGCCGCGUGUAUGAAGAAGGCCCUAGGGUUGUAAAGUACUUUCAGUCGGGAGGCGUUACCGACAGAAGAAGCACCGGCUAACUACGUGCCAGCAGCCGCGGUAAUUC